GCCUGUGUGGCUCAGCUGGUUGAGCGUCUGACUUCAGCUCAGGUCAUGAUCUCGCGGUUUGUGAGUUCAAGCCCCGUGUCAGGCU
rnacentral:tRNA from 1 species